UAAGUUUUAUUUUAAUCUAGAAUAGCUAGUUGUUACCUAGUAGGUGCAAAAAUUUUGCAAACUUAA
rnacentral:tRNA from 1 species